rnacentral:rRNA from 1 species
GACGAACGCUGGCGGCGUGCUUAACACAUGCAAGUCGAACGGUGAAGCGAGUGCUUGCACUCGUGGAUCAGUGGCGAACGGGUGAGUAACACGUGAGUAACCUGCCCAUCACUCUGGGAUAAGCACUGGAAACGGUGUCUAAUACUGGAUACGACCAACCCUUGCAUGGGGUGUUGGUGGAAAGAUUUAUCGGUGAUGGAUGGACUCGCGGCCUAUCAGCUUGUUGGCGGGGUAAUGGCCCACCAAGGCGACGACGGGUAGCCGGCCUGAGAGGGUGACCGGCCACACGGGGACUGAGACACGGCCCAGACUCCUACGGGGGGCAGGAGGGGGGAAAAUGGCACAAUGGGCGAAAGCCUGAUGCAGCGACGCCGGGGGGGGGAUGACGGCCUUGGGGUUGUAACCCUCUUUCAGCAGGGAAGAAGCGAAAGGGAGGGUACCGGCAGAAGAAGCACCGGCUAACUACGU